rnacentral:rRNA from 1 species
UCCGUAGGUGAACCUGCGGAAGGAUCAUUAUCGAGUUUUGAACGGGUUGUAGCUGGCCUCUCACGAGGCAUGUGCACGCCUGGCUCAUCCACUCUUAACCUCUGUGCACUUUAUGUAAGAGAAAAAAAUGGUGGAAGCUUCCAGGAUCUCGCGAGAGGUCUUCGGUUGAACAAGCCGUUUUUCUUUCUUAUGUUUUACUACAAACGCUUCAGUUAUAGAAUGUCAACUGUGUAUAACACAUUUAUAUACAACUUUCAGCAACGGAUCUCUUGGCUCUCGCAUCGAUGAAGAACGCAGCGAAAUGCGAUAAGUAAUGUGAAUUGCAGAAUUCAGUGAAUCAUCGAAUCUUUGAACGCACCUUGCACUCCUUGGUAUUCCGAGGAGUAUGCCUGUUUGAGUCUCAUGGUAUUCUCAACCCCUAAAUUUUUGUAAUGAAGGUUUAGCGGGCUUGGACUUGGAGGUUGUGUCGGCCCUUGUCGGUCGACUCCUCUGAAAUGCAUUAGCGUGAAUCUUACGGAUCGCCUUCAGUGUGAUAAUUAUCUGCGCUGUGGUGUUGAAGUAUUUAUGGUGUUCAUGCUUCGAACCGUCUCCUUGCCGAGACAAUCAUUUGACAAUCUGAGCUCAAAUCAGGUAGGACUACCCGCUGAACUUAAGCAUAUCAAUAAGCGGAGGA